AGCUGCUUAUAACACACCCAAAAGGAAUCUGGGUUCACUGUGACAAGGGGCAUAAAACUUGUGGCCUUCCUAUGACCAAAUACUCUCUACAU
rnacentral:snoRNA from 1 species